rnacentral:rRNA from 1 species
AUGAUGUGGUUAAGAAGAUGUCACUAUGAAUUUUGCAGGGUUUGCAAAAUACCUUUCGAGGGUAGCUUAGAGGAACCACAUCGUAGAGAUGUGGAUGGGUUUAUUGAUACUAUUAAUGUAGGGAAAACUAGGAAGGUUUCCGAUGAAAGAAUCAUUAGCAUACAUUUUCAUGUUUUACGCUACUUUGCAAUAUUUGCAAGUCGUUGCUUAAUUGGUCGCGGAAACUGUGGAAACCUUAGUGUUCCUGAUAUUAUUAUUUUGUUCCAUGCUUUAUUCCGUGAUGACUCUGUUAGUAUGGGCGCUAUUAUUGCCAAACGGUUAAGUCUGAACCAUACAAAGGGCCCCAUCUUUGGAGGUGUCUAUGCUUAG